GAGACGAUCCUGUUCUAUUACUAGAAUAGGCGCAUUUCGAACAGGAAUGUAGAAAAGAAGUUUAUUAAGAAAAAGAACAAAUUUACAAUUGUAGAAAUGAAAUACAUUUUGACAAGGAAUCAAUGAAAAUAUCUGAUCUAUCAACUAGUUGGUAGUAUAGAGGACUACCAAGGUUAUAACGGAUAACGAGAAAUUAGGGUUUGACAUCGGAGAAGGAGCUUUCAAAAUGGCUACUACUUCUAAGGAAGGCAGCAGGCGCGUAAAUUACCCACUUUUAACAGAAAGAGGUAGUGACGACAAAUAACUCUAUUCUUUAACAAAAAGAAUUGAAGGAAUGAACGGAACGUACAUAGUUUUGUGAAAGCAAU
rnacentral:rRNA from 1 species